rnacentral:lncRNA from 8 species
AUGGAGAGGACAGAGAGAGAGGCCGAUGGAGAGGACAGAGAGAGGCCCAUGGAGAGGACAGAGAGAGAGGACGAUGGAGAGGACAGCGAGAGAGGCCGAUGGAGAGGACAGAGAGAGAGGCCCAUGGAGAGGACAGAGAGAGAGGCCCAUGGAGAGGACAGAGAGACCCAUGGAGAGGACAGCGAGAGAGGCCCAUGGAGAGGACAGCGAGAGAGGCCCAUGGAGAGGACAGCGAGAGAGGCCCAUGGAGAGGACAGCGAGAGAGGCCCAUGGAGAGGACAGAGAGAGAGGCCGAUGGAGAGGACAGAGAGAGGCCCAUGGAGAGGACAGAGAGAGAGGACGAUGGAGAGGACAGCGAGAGAGGCCGAUGGAGAGGACAGAGAGAGAGGCCCAUGGAGAGGACAGAGAGAGAGGCCGAUGGAGAGGACAGAGAGACCCAUGGAGAGGACAGCGAGAGAGGCCGAUGGAGAGGACAGCGAGAGAGGCCCAUGGAGAGGACAGCGAGAGAGGCCCAUGGAGAGGACAGCGAGAGAGGCCCAUGGAGAGGACAGCGAGAGAGGCCCAUGGAGAGGACAGCGAGAGAGGCCCAUGGAGAGGACAGCGAGAGAGGCCCAUGGAGAGGACAGAGAGAGAGGCCCAUGGAGAGGACAGAGAGACCCAUGGAGAGGANNNNNNNNNNNNNNNNNNNNNNNNNNCAGCGAGAGAGGCCCAUGGAGAGGACAGCGAGAGAGGCCGAUGGAGAGGACAGCGAGAGAGGCCGAUGGAGAGGACAGCGAGAGAGGCCCAUGGAGAGGUCAGCGAGAGAGGCCCAUGGAGAGGACAGAGAGAGAGGCCCAUGGAGAGGACAGAGAGACCCAUGGAGAGGACAGCGCGAGAGGCCGAUGGAGAGGACAGCGAGAGAGGCCCAUGGAGAGGACAGCGAGAGAGGCCCAUGGAGAGGACAGCGAGAGAGGCCCAUGGAGAGGACAGAGAGAGAGGCCCAUGGAGAGGACAGAGAGACCCAUGGAGAGGACAGCGAGAGAGGCCGAUGGAGAGGACAGCGAGAGAGGCCCAUGGAGAGGACAGCGUGAGAGGCCCAUGGAGAGGACAGCGAGAGAGGCCCAUGGAGAGGACAGCGAGAGAGGCCCAUGGAGAGGACAGCGAGAGAGGCCGAUGGAGAGGACAGCGAGAGAGGCCCAUGGAGAGGACAGCGAGAGAGGCCCAUGGAGAGGGCAGCGAGAGAGGCCCAUGGAGAGGACAGAGAGAGAGGCCGAUGGAGAGGACAGCGAGAGAGGCCCAUGGAGAGGACAGCGAGAGAGGCCCAUGGACAGGACAGCGAGAGAGGCCCAUGGAGAGGACAGCGAGAGAGGCCCAUGGAGAGGACAGAGAGACCCAUGGAGAGGACAGCGAGAGAGGCCCAUGGAGAGGGGGUAG